rnacentral:rRNA from 1 species
GAUGAACGCUGGCGGCGUGCCUAAUACAUGCAAGUCGAGCGAACGGACGAGAAGCUUGCUUCUCUGAUGUUAGCGGCGGACGGGUGAGUAACACGUGGAUAACCUACCUAUAAGACUGGGGUAACUUCGGGAAACCGGAGCUAAUACCGGAUAAUAUUUUGAACCGCAUGGUUCAAAAGUGAAAGACGGUCUUGCUGUCACUUAUAGAUGGAUCCGCGCUGCAUUAGCUAGUUGGUAAGGUAACGGCUUACCAAGGCAACGAUGCAUAGCCGACCUGAGAGGGUGAUCGGCCACACUGGAACUGAGACACGGUCAAGACUCCUACGGGAGGCAGCAGUAGGGAAUCUUCCGCAAUGGGCGAAAGCCUGACGGAGCAACGCCGCGUGAGUGAUGAAGGUCUUCGGAUCGUAAAACUCUGUUAUUAGGGAAGAACAUAUGUGUAAGUAACUGUGCACAUCUUGACGGUACCUAAUCAGAAAGCCACGGCUAACUACGUG